rnacentral:rRNA from 1 species
AUUGAACGCUGGCGGCAGGCUUAACACAUGCAAGUCGAGCGGGGGAAGGUAGCUUGCUACCGGACCUAGCGGCGGACGGGUGAGUAAUGCUUAGGAAUCUGCCUAUUAGUGGGGGACAACAUCGCGAAAGGGAAGCGAUUACGGCAUACGUCCUACGGGAGAAAGCAGGGGAUCUUCGGACCUUGCGCUAAUAGAUGAGCCUAAGUCGGAUCAGCAAGUGGGUGGGGUAAAGGCCGACCAAGGCGACGAUCUGUAGCGGGUCGGAGAGGAGGAGCCGCCACACUGGGACUGGGACACGGCCCAGACUCCUACGGGAGGCAGCAGUGGGGAAUAUUGGACAAUGGGGGGAACCCUGAUCCAGCCAUGCCGCGUGUGUGAAGAAGGCCUUAUGGUUGUAAAGCACUUUAAGCGAGGAGGAGGCUACUUUAGUUAAUACCUAGAGAUAGUGGACGUUACUCGCAGAAUAAGCACCGGCUAACUCUGUGCCAGCAGCCGCCGUAA